GCCAGUGUGGCGUAGUGGUUUUGAGUGUUGGACUACAAUUCUGAAGGCCAGGGUUUGAUUCCUAGUUUGGCA
rnacentral:tRNA from 1 species